CCUACGGGUGGCAGCAGUGGGGGAUAUUGCACAAUGGGGGGAACCCUGAUGCAGCGACGCCGCGUGGGUGAAGGAGCGUUUCGGCGCGUAAAGCCCUGUCGGUAGGGAAGAUGAUGACGGUACCUGACCAAGAAGCCCCGGCUAACUACGUGCCAGCAGCCGCGGUAAUACGUAGGGGGCAAGCGUUAUCAGGAUUUACUGGGCGUAAAGGGGGCGCAGACGGGAAUGCAAGGCAGAGGUGAAAGCCCGGGGCCCAACCCUGGGACUGCACUUGAAACUGGAUGGCUGGAUUACGGGAGGGGCAGGCGGAAUUCCUGGUGUAGGGGUGAAAUGCGUAGAUAUUAGGAGGAACACCCGUGGCGAAGGCGGCCUGCUAGACUGUGACUGACGUUGAGGCCCGAAGGCGUGGGGAGCAAACAGGAUUAGAUACCCCAGUAGUC
rnacentral:rRNA from 1 species